CGGUAAUUCCAGCUCCAAUAGCGUAUACUAAAGUUGUUGCAGUUAAAAAGCUCGUAGUUGGAUUUCUGCGGGGACGGAGCGGCCGGACGCAACUUGCGUCUCGAGCUAGCGCUUUCCCCACAUCCUGCCGCGAACCGUGCUACCAUCAGCUUGGUGGCGCUGGGGAUCGGCUCGAUUACUUUGAGAAAAAUAGAGUGUUCAAAGCAGGCCACACGCCUUGAAUAAGUUAGCAUGGAAUAAUGAUUAAGGACUUCGGUUCUAUUUUGUUGGUGUUCGGGACUGAAGUAAUGAUUGAUAGGGACAGUUGGGGCGGUCUGUAUUCCAAAGCGAGAGGUGAAAUUCUUAGACCUUCGGAAGACAAACAGCUGCGAAAGCGUUCCGCAAGGAUGUUCCCUUUGAUCAAGAACGAAAGUUGGGGGAUCGAAGACGAUCAGAUACCGUCGUAGUCUCAACUAUAAACUAUACCAGCUAGGGAUCGGCCAACGUUUAACUUUAUCGACUUGGUCGGCACCUUAUGAGAAAUCAAAGCAUCUGGGUUCCGGGGGGAGUAUGGUCGCAAGGCUGAAACUUAAAGGAAUUGACGGAAGGGCACCACCAGGCGUGGAGCCUGUGGCUUAAUUUGACUUAACACGGGAAAACUUACCAGGUCCAGACAUAGGAAGGUUUGACAGAUUGAUAGCUCUUUCUUGAUUCUGUGGGUGGUGGUGCAUGGCCGUUUUUAGUCGGUGAAGUGAUUUGUCUGCUUAAUUGCGUUAACGGACGAGACCCCAGCCUGCUAAAUAGCGCGGCCGAGCUUUGCUCGGUGCGAGCUUCUUAGAGGGACCAUGAUGCGCGAUAGCACAAGGAAGUUUGGGGCAACAACAGGUCUGUGAUGCCCUUAGAUGUUCUGGGCCGCACACGGGCUACACUGGCGCCUGCAACGAGCAUAUCAGCUGGCCCGAGAGGGUCUUGGCUAAUCUUUGGAACCGGCGCCGUGCUUGGGAUUGACCAUUGCAAUUGUUGGUCAUGCAACGAGGAAUGCCUUGUAAACGCGAGUCAUCAGCUCGCAUUGAAUACGUCCCUGCCCUUUGUACACACCGCCCGUCGCUCCUACCGAUGAAUGUUCCGAUGAAAUUUUCGGAGAGCGCCAGAGAACGGGGCUCUGCCUUGCAGAUCUGGAGGCUCAAAGUCACUUAAAUCUGAACAUUUCGAGGAAGGAGAAGUCGUAACAAGGUAGCCG
rnacentral:rRNA from 1 species